UGGUUAUGUUCCUUUGAAUGUUCGUUUGAUGUAAAAGGCGAGAUUCCAAAUAUUUGUGACAUUUUUAAACUUGCAGUACUACAUGAAAAAACAAACAAACAAACAAACAAACAAACAAACAAACAAACAGGGUUUAUUCCCAGGAGGAGAACUUCCUAGAUGGUUCAAAUGUGUGUGGUUCCCAAACCAUUCUCACAUUUUAUCUCUAUACUAUAACUUUAUCUGUAUCUUGUUUAAAUAACAACAUUUAAAUACAUGCAUAUUAAAAAAACAAACAAACAAACAACAACAAAAAAAAAAAACAUUGAUAUUCAAUUAAAGGGUUAUGUCUGGAAAUGAUCAGGAAACAUUUGGCCAAAAUAACCAAGUUCUAAAAAUAACAGAGUUGGAAGCUUUUUUUUUCAUUUUCAAUAUUUUAGCCUAAAAUAAAAAAUGAUCAUGUCCAUUCUCCAUGAUUCCUUUUAGAGGCAAAUAAUAAUGUCUAGUUCAUGUUUUGGUUGGCAAAAUCUGGCACUGAACCUAGCAUGAACCAAAGUACCUCUUACAUGAGAUUCACUGUAUUAAUACAAUUUAUGUGUAUAGUGCCAGCUAUGUAUUCAGUGCAUGUUUUGUUUUGUAGCAAAUUGAUAGUUCAGGAGAAAAUAAGCUUAACUUCUAAUUUAAAAUACAUUUAUGACAUGAUUUUACCAAUCUCUCAUUGUCUCAUUAUUUAACACUUCAAAUCACAAAAAGAGAUUGUUCAUAUAACUUGCAAUGCAUCUAUCUGUGCCAUGCCUGGACUUUAAAGUAAAAUGGUACCUUUCUUGAAAAUGGACAAGAUGUGAGAUACCCAAUGUGGUUUUAUGUCAUCUAUAUAAUUUAUUUACAAAGCGAAAGCAAAUUCUGUAGCACUGGAUUUAAUUGUGUUUACUUACUAAGCAUAGAAUGUGCAAUUCAGUUGUUAAUGCUCCACAACCCCCAGUUUAGUGAAUAAGUCCCAACUGAGUAUAGGGAAUUAUUAAAGUUUACAGACAAAACAAACUGAUACAGUAUUUGAAAGAUUUCGACAUUCUAAAAUGAAUAGAUAAUGCGUGUAAACUAGAACACUUUUGCUUCCAGUCUGAGCUCAUAUGUCUGUGUUACCAUAUACAAGUUGGGAUAUCAUUAAUUGUUUGAGAGCAAAAUCUGAUAGUAUAAACUUCUGCUUCGAGGAGACUGGGCCAAAACAUAGGAAGCAGAAUAAACCUGGCUUUUUCUAAUCAGCCAUACACACUCUCACACAUCUAGACAUCACUCACAUUUAUAAAGAACCAUUUUUCACUAAAAUGUAUUAUUUUUCCUUAUAUGAACCUGAAGUAAUGUUUGUCUGCAGCAUUCUGAUUUAUUAGUGACAGAGCAUCUGGAAGGUGUAAAAUUUUCUCUGAAGCAUAUAAAUAAAGCAGGCUCAUUUCCACCUUAUGGGGGUCAAUCAAGGUGAUCUCCUGAUCUAUAGUAACCAAUACAGAGGCAAGAUUCCCAGUAGCA